rnacentral:rRNA from 1 species
AGAGUUCGAUCCUGGCUCAGGACGAACGCUGGCGGCACGCUUAACACAUGCAAGUCGAACGAGAGAAGAGGAGCUUGCUUUUCUGAUCUAGUGGCGGACGGGUGAGUAACACGUGAGCAAUCUGCCUUUCAGAGGGGGAUACCGAUUGGAAACGAUCGUUAAUACCGCAUAACAUAAUUGAACCGCAUGAUUUGAUUAUCAAAGAUUUAUCGCUGAAAGAUGAGCUCGCGUCUGAUUAGCUAGUUGGUAAGGUAACGGCUUACCAAGGCGACGAUCAGUAGCCGGACUGAGAGGUUGAUCGGCCACAUUGGGACUGAGACACGGCCCAGACUCCUACGGGAGGCAGCAGUGGGGAAUAUUGCACAAUGGAGGAAACUCUGAUGCAGCGAUGCCGCGUGAGGGAAGAAGGUUUUAGGAUUGUAAACCUCUGUCUUCAGGGACGAAAAAAGACGGUACCUGAGGAGGAAGCUCCGGCUAACUACGUGCCAGCAGCCGCGGUAAUACGUAGGGAGCUAGCGUUGUCCGGAAUUACUGGGUGUAAAGGGAGCGUAGGCGGGAUCGCAAGUCAGAUGUGAAAACUAUGGGCUUAACCCAUAAACUGCAUUUGAAACUGUGGUUCUUGAGUGAAGUAGAGGUAAGCGGAAUUCCUAGUGUAGCGGUGAAAUGCGUAGAUAUUAGGAGGAACAUCAGUGGCGAAGGCGGCUUACUGGGCUUUAACUGACGCUGAGGCUCGAAAGCGUGGGGAGCAAACAGGAUUAGAUACCCUGGUAGUCCACGCCGUAACCGAUGAUUACUAGGUGUGGGGGGACUGACCCCUUCCGUGCCGCAGCAAACGCAAUAAGUAAUCCACCUGGGGAGUACGACCGCAAGGUUGAAACUCAAAGGAAUUGACGGGGGCCCGCACAAGCAGUGGAGUAUGUGGAUUAAUUCGAAGCAACGCGAAGAACCUUACCAGGUCUUGACAUCGUAUGCAUAGCUCAGAGAUGAGUGAAAUCUCUUCGGAGACAUAUAGACAGGUGGUGCAUGGUUGUCGUCAGCUCGUGUCGUGAUAUGUUGGGUUAAGUCCCGCAACGAGCGCAACCCUUACUGUUAGUUGCUACGCAAGAGCACUCUAGCAGGACUGCCGUUGACAAAACGGAGGAAGGUGGGGAUGACGUCAAAUCAUCAUGCCCCUUAUGACCUGGGCCUCACACGUACUACAAUGGCUGUCAACAGAGGGAAGCAAAGCCGCGAGGUGGAGCGAACCCCUAAAAGCAGUCUUAGUUCGGAUUGUAGGCUGCAACCCGCCUACAUGAAGUCGGAAUUGCUAGUAAUCGCAGAUCAGUAUGCUGCGGUGAAUACGUUCCCGGGCCUUGUACACACCGCCCGUCACGCCAUGGGAGUCGGUAACACCCGAAGCCUGUAGUCUAACCGCAAGGAGGACGCAGUCGAAGGUGGGAUUGAUGACUGGGGUGAAGUCGGAACAAGGUA